rnacentral:rRNA from 1 species
GGAGGGGGCUAGCGUUGUUCGGAAUUACUGGGCGUAAAGCGCGCGUAGGCGGAUUUUCAAGUCAGGGGGUGAAAUCCCGAGGCUCAACCUCGGAACUGCCUUUGAUACUGAGAGUCUUGAGUCCCGAGAGAGGUGAGUGGAAUUCCUAGUGUAGAGGUGAAAUUCGUAGAUAUUAGGAAGAACACCAGUGGCGAAGGCGGCUCACUGGCUCGGUACUGACGCUGAGGCGCGAAAGCGUGGGGAGCAAACAGGAUUAGAUACCCUGGUAGUCCACGCCGUAAACUAUGGGUGCUAGCCGUCGGGGAGCAUGCUCUUCGGUGGCGCAGCAAACGCGUUAAGCACCCCGCCUGGGGAGUACGGUCGCAAGAUUA